rnacentral:lncRNA from 1 species
GUUAAUUUUAAAUAAGUAUGCUUUUAAGUUUAAACAAGGUUGAUUUAUUUUCAAGUUAAAUAAUGUUUUCUACUUUUAUAAAAUUGUUAGUUGCUAAUUUUAAUUUUUAUAUUUUUCUCCUUUUAGCCACUAAUUCUGAAUCAUUCCACGAAGUUUCUGUUAGUGAAAAUUAUUUAAAAUUUCUGAGUUUGUGAACUAAAGUGUGUAAUGUUGAAUCACAAAUAAAUAUUAACCAAAACCGAUGUAGAACAGAAGUUAAAACGAGUUCAACUGGGUUUAUGAUGUGUUGCUACGCCGACCGGAUCUGAACAUAACUUUAAAAAUAUCCGAAUGGGUUCAAAUUUCAUGCCCCCGAAAAACCAAAACCCAGUUGAACCAGAGAUGAACCCGAUUUUACACCCGACACCCAUGCCUAGCUUCUCUUUUCCGAAUAGUGUUUUGUAUGGUGUUCUAGCUCUGGCAAUAAUUUGUUGUUGACGUGGAUGCCUUUGUGAAGGAUGGUUUUGGCGAAUUUCAUUCGGCAGUGGGCUCACUGUUUUGUCUCUCUUUUGUGCUGUCGGUUAGGGUUUCACUCAUUCACCGGUUUGGUAGCUGGUUUUAGGCGCUUUGGGUUAGUAUUUCUGUAAAAAAAAUUCUGUCUUUCUCUAUUCCAGCUGAAGAAAGC